rnacentral:tRNA from 1 species
GGACCUUUAGCUCAGUUGGUUAGAGCUGCCUGCUCAUGACAGGCUGGUCGUGGGUUCGAAUCCUACAAGGUCCA